GUUGCGGCUGUGCAUGGUGUUAAUGUGACUCAAAAGUUGUCUCAGAGUCAAUGCCACAAAUAUGUAGCAUAUGCAGCAACGCCAAAUCAUGUUGGAAGCAAAGAUGUCAGAGGCAAGAGGACGCCGGUAAAGUUGAAACUGGUCAAAGGUCGGUACGGUAGCGCAAGACUGCCGUAAAAACUCGUUACUAUGGUUACACCCGCCAGCUAGCUGCUGCAAAUGAGAACGUGGGGCGUAAACCAUGGCGUAAACUAACGUUAUUUGAGACCGAUUUGGGUUUGAACUUGGAUUGACGUGUUUCACUGCAAGUAAAUUAAAGCGCUGUAUCCAGUGCUCAUUCUUUGUAGUUCACAUCGCACACCCUUUGAAUGUUCUCGACGUUUCAAUGUGUUUUCAGUGUUUAUUGUGUAUCGUUGCAGCCGAACAGAGACAUCGAGGCGGGCUAAUUAACAAUCUAAGUCAGCUAACGGCAUGGAAGAAUUGGAUGAUGUCGCAGUGUCGAUUUUACGGGCUGCAAACAUCACAGAGACAAUGAUGAGCACCCUGUCUCGUGAAGACUUGCGGGAUCUUUUCCCAGGCCCUGAGAACUUUUUACGGAGAAAAGCGCUCUGGCGGGCCUGUCAUGGUGCGUCGGAGGAGGAGUCUGGACAAGAACACUCAACAUUAUCGGCCAGUUCCUCCUUUAAUGCGUCACCCAUGCGAAAGACAUCGACUCCUAAAGCAAGUCCUGCAAAGUACACAACUGCUGAAAAGGUUGUGAAGUUAUCAUCGCCAGAAUAUGUGUUGCACACAGACACAGAACUUGAGCAAGUCAGAAAACACUACUUUGAGUUGCUGAAGACAGGCGAACAGCGCAACUGCCAAAUGUCGAAGGAGCUCAGAUGCCGGCUCAUUCGGAACACCAUGACCAGUAUGAUUUCAAUCCUGAGGGCAAAGGGGGAUGGAGAAUCACACCGAUACCCAUCAAAGCCAGAAAUAACAGCAAUGGCAAAGACGAUAUAUCUGAAUAUCUGAAUUGGUAUAUUUAUAUAUUUCAUAGGUGAUGGAGGAGCUUCAACGCAUUCUGGAUAAGGAUAACACCAACUUCAUCGAUGAACUGAAAGGAAGAUGGCAUGACUUCUGCCAGAAGGUGCAGUUUUUUGGUGUAUGGAAAAAGGCGUUGAAACCCCCAAUGGGAAUGGACAAAGCUGAACAGGCUCUUGAGAUCCUACGUGUGCUGCCAUCACUGUUCCCCUCCACGUCUGCUCCUCCAAAGAGGGUACGAAAUGCGAGUGAGGCUCUGGUGCAUGUCCUCGAGGAAACGGAAGACCCCAAUUCAUACCUGAAAAAACGGCCUCUCUCCUGCCCAGUCCUGAUUGUCAGUCCGUCCAACUGCCUCCUAGCGGUAGGAGAUGUGGGAAUAACCACCUUUCCAAAAGACAAGCUUACCGAGAGUGCUUUAUACCUAAUGGCCUACUAUUAUACCCUACACCUGACCUAUCCAAAGUGUGUAGCCACUCUGCUUUCGGUCAUCCAGACGGAGGUCCUCUUAGACAAAAUCCAUGAGAGAGAUCUCACAUCGUCUUACAAGAAGAGCAUGGCUGAGUGGGAAGCUUUUAUUGGCCAAUAAAACCACUGGUCAGAUAUGUGGUGUACAGGAUAGCACUUCCUCUCUCCCGCCAAGGUUGCCACAGUCCAUGUUCAUUGCAUGUUUUCAUGUUGGAGUUCCAUAAAUACUGUGAGCCAAAAUGUUGAAGAAAUUAAGAUGUUUCCCUUUUAUGUUCAAUUAAAAAAAAUUGGGUUAAAUGCAGGACUAGUUUUCAUUUAUUCUGUCUUAUAAUAAAUAGUUAAUGUCUUGAAUCUAGUAGGUGAAUGUCUUGAAUUUAGUAGGUGAAUGUCUUGAAUCUAGAACAGUAUUACUUUUGUAGAGCUUAAAAUAAGGUAAAUACACUUGAUGACAGGAUGGUAAAUUACUUUUUAUAAUGGCAAAAGAGUCAGGAAGGCUAACUUCAAGACAUUUUGUCUCAAAAUGCCAUUUUCUAAUCUUAUUUCAAGUAGCUGGUGGACUUAAAUCUAAAACAGUGUAACAAUUAUAUAACUAAAAAUUUGUUAAAUACACUUGAAACAAGCAGGAUGACAAAAAAAAAUACUGCUUUUUAGAGGAAAAUACUAUUUUUGAGCAUGACAAGCUUAUUAUGAGACACACAACAUCACAAUACUAGUAAAAUAUAGCUAAAAAUGAGUUUUCCCAGCUAAUUUCAAGAUCACUCUUAUCUUGUUAGGCUUCAAUAUAAUGUCUUAUUUCAAGAAAUCUUACUAAGACAAUUUUCACUUGUUCCAUUGGCAGAUAUUUUUGCUUAUUCCAAAGCAAAAAUAUCUUGUAUUAAUAUUUUUUUGCUUAUUUUAGGAGUGGCCUUUUUU